AUCGUUUCUUGACCUUUUGGCUAAGAUCACGUGUAGUAUCUGUUCUUAGUUUAAUAUCUGAUACAUCCUCUAUCCAAGGACAAUAAGUUAAAUGGGUUUUUGGAGCAGGGAGAUGGAAAAGGAGGUUGCUUGGUACACUCCACGCAUCGACCUAGUAUUGCAGUACCUCCAGGGACGGUGCACACACA
ensembl:snRNA U2 U2 spliceosomal RNA